rnacentral:lncRNA from 1 species
CGGGGAGCCAGGCUGCGCCCACGCUCAGGGCCAGGCCGCAGUCUUGAGGCUGGGCCCCCUGCCCCAUAGCCAGGGCCUCUGAGCAGCACCUGCCCACACACCCCUGACCCUCCGGGCCCGGCUGGGUGGACGGAGCAUGGGCAAAUGGAGGGCAGAAUGGAGUGAGUGUCCAGCAUGCACCCAACCUGGAGAUCGGCCCAGAGGGUCCCUGGGAGCCUGCCAUCCUCCAUACCCCAGUCUCUGUGAUGUGGGCACCCGGGCAGAUACCAUGCUGAGAGCCAGCUGGGCCUGCAGUGAGGAAAUGUGGCCCAAAGCAGACUGCAGAGCUGGAACUCAGACCUCAUCAAUGGCAAUGAAUGGUGCAUCCUGGCUGGGGCCGCCGCCCCUCACUGUGAGACAUCAGCCCAGACGAGCGCCCAGCCCCUCCUGGGGUCUCAGAUACUCAGAAUGAAAGGCUCACAGCUGCCAUGAACUUCCACAGGACUUUGUGGUUCCUCCUGCACCCCCGGUGAUGC